rnacentral:lncRNA from 1 species
GCCGGGGGCGUGGAGGGCUGCAGAGUGGAGCCCAGGACAGCUGCGAUCCUGCUCGGGUUGCUUUCCUUCCUCCGUCGCCUUCUCCCUUUGCUCUGCGCUGGCCACACGGUGGGACGCCCGCGGCGACAGAAGUCUGGGCGCCCUUGUCUGAAACCUCCUGGCGAGCCUGACAAGCAGCCGCGGAGAGCAAGAUCCAUGUUCACUUAUUCCCUGGUCUAGGAGUGGAAUUUCUGGGACAUACGAUCCUUAUCCAUUAUGUUAUUACAAAUUGAAUAUAUUGAAUAUAGUUCACUGUGCUAUACAUAUCUUCCAGAGGCAAGAGGUGGCUGGAGUCAGUGCAGAGCCAUCCAAGAAAUGCACAUCUGCCAGAAUUUCAGCUCAGCUUCCUUGCCUCUGGCAUCUCUAUCUUUCUGAAAGGGCUCAGCAGCCUGGACGCAGACGCAGCAGUGUGGAUGAUUGCAUUGAUCCAGACUUGGAAGUUGUGCGGCAGUCUGGACAGGAUGGCAUAGACUCAUUUCUUCCUGCUCCUCCGAGCCAAGUAUAAGUAUAAAUCCUAGAAAUAAUUCAAGAGGCAACCAAAGGAGAAUCCUGGAGGAGGUAAACAGGAAGGCAGAAUGAUUAGGAAUCCCAGGACUAGAGGAACACCGUGGUAGCCUUAUGACUUACCAUCGAACAGAAGAAGACAACCCAGGCCCAGCAUUUCCCAGCCCUCAACCCAGCAACGGAUGGUGGCUCAGGGGGGCUCCUUCUUCCUCUGGAUCGAAUAGGAGUUCUGCUGGCAACACCACGUGAGCAUGGCAACUGCAGCAAAGGAAAUCUAGCAGGGAGCCCUGCUGACACUAAGAAGUUAGGGGAAGUGCUUCCUUUUCCCACCAGGCCGGAGACCAAAAGAUACUGUGCAACCAGGGCACCGUCAAGAGGAAAUCGCACCACAUGUAGACUGGCUCAGGAAGCCUUUGAACCCCCUGAUCUUCAGGAUCCCCUUUCCCCAUAAGAGGAGGGCAUAUAGCACUGGCAAGGUAGGUUCCACCAGAAUAAGGAAAGCCGGGGAAGAUUUAUUUCUACAGACGAUAGAGGUUCACUUCCUCCACCUAGAGGCAUCAGGCAACCAGCCUGGUGAAGCACUGCUCCUUCAGGCAGCACCUCAUCAGCACCACAUUAACCAAGCAGGCCAAAAUAGCACCAUAGAGGUUCUAUAAAGUAAAUCAUCAUUGAAAACAGAGCCUACAAAAACAGGCCAAGACCUGUGUGCUAAACCUAACCAAUGACUGCCUACUAAAAUAAAAGUUUUCCAUAGUCUCCUAACAUAGUAGCCAGAAUGUCCAGAAUACAAUGAAAAAUCACCCAUCAUACCAAGAACCAGAAAAUCACAACUUGCAAGAGAAAAGACAAUCAACUGACAUCAGUACCAAGAUGAAUCAGUUGUUAGAAUCAUCUGACAAGGAUUUUAAUGCAGCAUCACAGAAAUGCUUCCGUAAGCAAUUGCAACGUCUCUUGAAACAAAUGGAGAAAAA